GCCAACCGGGAUCCAGACGAUGGGACGAGAGAAAGUAAGAAUGCAUAAGCGUCUUGCGAGUAUUUCGUCCUAUUAUAGGGGGCAGUGUGUGCAGGAAGGGAGAAAGUGAGACUGCAUAAGCGUCUUGCGAGUAUUUCGUCCUAUUAUAGGGGGAGGUGUCUAGUCGCCAAAUGCCUCAGUAGACCUGAAACACGAACAAGUCGCGGCCUCUCCCCGGAGGGCCCCGGGUCCCGGCCUAGCCAACCGGGAUCCAGUCGAUGGGACGAGAGAAAGUAAGAAUGCAUAAGCGUCUUGCGAGUAUUUCGUCCUAUUAUAGGGGGCAGUGUGUGCAGGAAGGAGAAAGUGAGACUGCAUAAGCGUCUUGCGAGUAUUUCGUCCUAUUAUAUGGGGAGGUGUCUAGUCGCCAAAUGCCUCUGUAAAACUGAAACACGGACCACAAGAGGACUCUCCCCGGAGGGCCCCGGGUCCCGGCCUAGCCAACCGGGAUCCAGACGGUGGGACGGAAGAAAGCGAGAAUGCAUAAGCGUCUUGCGAGUAUUUCGUCCUAUUAUAGGGGGCAGUGUGUGCAGGAAGGGAGAAAGUGAGACUGCAUAAGC
rnacentral:lncRNA from 1 species